AAUAAAGAGGCUAUUUGCAGAGGUUUAGUUAAAGGAAGUUUGAGGCUCUAGUGACAGUAGGAAGUCAUUACCACCCUUAGGCCUGUAGGGACAAAGGGAGGAAAUGGUUUCUAGAACCCACUAAUAGCUGAAGCCAGGGAUGUGAAGCUGCCCAGAGAGGAGCUGUUGUCUUAGUGUCAUAAUCACUGCCAAAACCAUGGUGGCAGACGUGGGAGGACUCACAGGAAACAUACCCUCACCUUUUUUCUACCUUCCAUUCUCCUGUUGGAUGCGAAACCAGAGGGCAAAGAGCUUGUGGGAUGCAGACCUCGGAGGUCAGCCUCCCAGAGCACACAAUGACAAGGAAUAGGUUUGGGGAAAGGAGAUGCAAAUGAAGAACACCUGGUAUGCGGGGUGACCUUAGACUGGGGAGUGGGAAGACAGAGCAACUUAGCAGAAUAAGAGGAAAACCCUUUCUCUUACCUCCUGAAUCCAAACCUUUCUGGUUCCCGCAGGCUGCCUGCCAUCUCCAAUGUUCCCACACUGCCCUGAUGUUAACCUUCUUCACUGGUUGCCUCCUCCCGUAGGGUGUCCUGGGCCGGGUCUAUGAGACAGUGGUGAUGUUGAUGCUCCUCACUCUGCUGGUGCUAGGUAUGGUGUGGGUGGCAUCAGCCAUUGUGGACAAGAACAAGGCCAACAGAGAGUCACUCUAUGACUUUUGGGAGUACUAUCUCCCCUACCUCUACUCAUGCAUCUCCUUCCUUGGGGUUCUGCUGCUCCUGGUGUGUACUCCACUGGGUCUCGCCCGCAUGUUCUCCGUCACUGGGAAGCUGCUAGUCAAGCCCCGGCUGCUGGAAGACCUGGAGGAGCAGCUGUACUGCUCAGCCUUUGAGGAGGCAGCCCUGACCCGCAGGAUCUGUAAUCCUACUUCCUGCUGGCUGCCUUUAGACAUGGAGCUGCUACACAGACAGGUCCUGGCUCUGCAGACACAGAGGGUCCUGCUGGAGAAGAGGCGGAAGGCUUCAGCCUGGCAACGGAACCUGGGCUACCCCCUGGCUAUGCUGUGCUUGCUGGUGCUGACGGGCCUGUCUGUGCUCAUUGUGGCCAUCCACAUCCUGGAGCUGCUCAUCGAUGAGGCUGCCAUGCCCCGAGGCAUGCAGGUACCAGGCUGCCCUCCCACCUUACCUAAUGGUGUCCUCAGUUGUGGGCUUCUAUAGCUCUCCACUCUUCCGGAGCCUGCGGCCCAGAUGGCACGACACCGCCAUGACGCAGAUAAUUGGGAACUGUGUCUGUCUCCUGGUCCUAAGCUCAGCACUUCCUGUCUUCUCUCGAACCCUGGGGCUCACUCGCUUUGACCUGCUGGGUGACUUUGGACGCUUCAACUGGCUGGGCAAUUUCUACAUUGUGUUCCUCUACAACGCAGCCUUUGCAGGCCUCACCACACUCUGUCUGGUGAAGACCUUCACUGCAGCUGUGCGGGCAGAGCUGAUCCGGGCCUUUGGGCUGGACAGACUGCCGCUGCCCGUCUCCGGUUUCCCCCAGGCAUCUAGGAAGACCCAGCACCAGUGACCUCCAGCUGGGGGUGGGAAGGAAAAAACUGGACACUGCCAUCUGCUGCCUAGGCCUGGAGGGAAGCCCAAGGCUACUUGGACCUCAGGACCUGGAAUCUGAGAGGGUGGGUGGCAGAGGGGAGCAGAGCCAUCUGCACUAUUGCAUAAUCUGAGCCAGAGUUUGGGACCAGGACCCCCUGCUUUUCCAUACUUAACUGUGGCCUCAGCAUGGGGUAGGGCUGGGUGACUGGGUCUAGCCCCUGAUCCCAAAUCUGUUUACACAUCAAUCUGCCUCACUGCUGUUCUGGGCCAUCCCCAUAGCCAUGUUUACAUGAUUUGAUGUGCAAUAAGGUGGGGUAGGGGCAGGGAAAGGACUGGGCCAGGGCAGGCUCGGGAGAUAGAUUGUCUCCCUUGCCUCUGGCCCAGCAGAGCCUAAGCACUGUGCUAUCCUGGAGGGGCUUUGGACCACCUGAAAGACCAAGGGGAUAGGGAGGAGGAGGCUUCAGCCAUCAGCAAUAAAGUUGAUCCCAGGGUUUGCUUUGUUUUUUUAAAGC
rnacentral:sRNA from 1 species